AUUGAACGCUGGCGGCAGGCCUAACACAUGCAAGUCGAGCGGCAGCGGGAAAGUAGCUUGCUACUUUUGCCGGCGAGCGGCGGACGGGUGAGUAAUGCCUGGGGAUCUGCCCAGUCGAGGGGGAUAACUACUGGAAACGGUAGCUAAUACCGCAUACGCGCUACGGGGGAAAGCAGGGGACCUUCGGGCCUUGCGCGAUUGGAUGAACCCAGGUGGGAUUAGCUAGUUGGUGAGGUAAUGGCUCACCAAGGCGACGAUCCCUAGCUGGUCUGAGAGGAUGAUCAGCCACACUAGAACUGAGACACGGUCCAGACUCCUACGGGAGGCAGCAGUGGGGAAUAUUGCACAAUGGGGGAAACCCUGAUGCAGCCAUGCCGCGUGUGUGAAGAAGGCCUUCGGGUUGUAAAGCACUUUCAGCGAGGAGGAAAGGUUGGUAGCUAAUAACUGCCAGCUGUGACGUUACUCGCAGAAGAAGCACCGGCUAACUCCGUGCCAGCCGCCGCCGUAAGAC
rnacentral:rRNA from 1 species